rnacentral:lncRNA from 1 species
GUGUGGAGGGAUGGGUUCAGUCUCCUAGUUAGAGUGGAUGGGUUCAGUCUCCUAGGUAGAGUGGACGGGUUCAUUCUCCUAGUUAGUGGAUGGGUUCAGUCUCCUAGUUAGAGUGGAUGAUGGGUUCAGUCUCCUAGUUAGAGUGGAUGAUGGGUUCAGUCUCCUAGUUAGUGGAUGAUGGGUUCAGUCUCCUAGUUAGAGUGGAUGAUUGGUUCAGUCUCCUAGGUAGAGUGGAUGGGUUCAGUUUCCGAGUUAGAGUGGAUGGGUUCAGUCUCCUAGUUAGAGUGGAUGGGUUCAGUCUCCUAGUUAGAGGAUGGGUUCAGUCUCCUAGUUAGUGGAUGGGUUCAGUCUCCUAGUUAGUGGAUGGGUUCAGUCUCCUAGUUAGAGUGGAUGAUGGGUUCAGUCUCCUAGUUAGAGUGGAUGAUGGGUUCAGUCUCCUAGUUAGAGUGGAUGAUAGGUUCAGUCUCCUAGUUAGAGUGGAUGGGCUCAGUCUCCUAAUGUCCAGCAUUAUGGUCGUAAUGGUGUUGGUGGCUGCAUUUUCC